GAAGAAGAAAUGGAGAAGGCAGAAGGGAGCAAGAAGACGUGCUGCAAAAGGAAGAUAAGCGAAUCUGAAACCUCUUCCAUUACCAUGAACAUACCAUCUUUUCUCUCAUAUACUGGCAACCUUCUGCAAGCAUGGAAACCGACCUAACUCUCUUCUCAAAGUCCCUUAAAUUCUCUUCCCCUUUUCAUCCUCUCUUUGCUCCCCAAUCUUCUCAGUCCUCUCUCUCUCUAUCUCUCUAUAUAUAUAUAUAUAUUAUACCUGUUUUAUCUUAAUUCACUAAAAUUGUAUCUUGGAUAGCGGCGGUGUCCAGACACUGCUUGUUGGACCGCAAAGAUUGUGGGGCCCGCUUCGCUAUUGUCCUUGGAAAUGAAUGAACGAAUUGCUUUGGAUGUUGAAAUUGUGAAGUUUUUUAUCUCGGCUUUAAGGAGUUCCAUUAGGAGAGUUUCAAUGGCUGCGUGAAAUGCUCUUCUGGAUUUGUCUCCGUUGGAAGGCUGUGGUUAUUGGAGUUCUCUGCUCUACAGAAGCUUAUGUGAGUAUUUUAAUUAUGCUUCUUCAAGUGGGUGCUAUUUCAGAUACACCCCCAAAGUUGUGGUUAAAGAAUGUUCUUCUGUUUUUUAUGUCUGAAUCAAGGAAUUAUUAGGAAUGAUGUGGCUGUCAAAACUCAAACAUGUCCAGUUAUGAUUGUCAAUUCUGUACUCUCAUCAGUGCAGUAUGAGUAGCUGCAUUUGUUUAGUCUAGUUGGUUUGGAUGUCCUUUUCUUGGCAAAUGGAUAGUUAGGCUCUGUUUGGAUGAGGGUGAAGGAGAGGUAAAAAAGGUAAAGAGGAAAAUUAACUUAUAUGCCCUGUUUGGAAUGAGGUAAAUUCAUAGAGAGUAUGUAAGCAAGGGUAAGCCUUAACUCCCUUGCCCCUCAAAUCUCAAUUUUCUUUACGCCCAUUUGAGGUGCAAGGAGGGAUAAGGAGGGCAGGGUAAGGAGGAGGAGGGGAGGGUAAGGAGGGUAGGUGAGAGUUAUGAUUAUUUUGUUUCUUGCAUAUUUAUAUUUAAUCUUACUUCACCUCAUUUGCAAAUAUAAAGAAUAUAUAUUUCCCUAUUUACCUUUUCAUUAAUUCAGCCUUUUUAAAAUAUGAUUUUUUUUUAUUAUAACCUUCUUUAUUUUUUCUUCUCCUUACCUUUCUUACCUUUCCAUUUAUUAACCUUCCUUCACCCUAUCCAAACAAAGCCUAUCCUGGUUGACCUUCAUGUAUUUAGAAUGCUAUGGACCAUAUCCUUUGAUCCUUUCUUACCUUUCCAUUGAGGACCAUAUCCUUGUUGACCUUCAUGUUUUUAGAAUGCUAUGGUUAACGCAUGAGAAAUUGCCUACCCUAUUCAAUCCACUGAACUUUUGUUAAGCAUUUAGAAAUUGAAGUUUUGCCAAUAAGCAUCCCACAUGUGGAUGAGUGGUAAAUUGCAGAAGAAGCAAAAGAAAGUUAUGAGCAGUAGGACGUUGCUGUUUGUAUCACUUAAUUCAUAGGAGGGUCAGUAUUUCUGUCUGCUUCAUUAUCAAAAAAAUGCUUAUAUGUUUAUUAAAUUCACAGGCGGGAAAAUAUAUUUGUAGCAUGGUUUCCAAAUCUUCUCCUUCCUACCUUGUUUCAGGUCCUCUCUCUCUAUCCUCAUCAGUUGGCUCUUGUGUUUCUUUUAUUUAUUUGCUUAUUUUUAUUUUGAACAACAAUACUGGAAACCUUUCAGGUAACUAUAGCAUCUUAGAUAGGCAAGAGAAGACUAUGAGUUUUUGUCUUAGAAUAUAGCACAUAUUUAUCCCAAAAAAAAAUGUAUCCAAUGAAGUUUAAUUGAUUGUCAUUUUAGUACCUUUUUUUCUGCUAAUAUUAUUAAACCAUAUUUAUUUGAUGCUCAUGUAUCAUAAACAACAAUUAUGCUUUAAUAUUAUUCAUAAUGACUCUUAUAUGGAUGGCCACAUGAUCAAGGGUGAGCAAGAAAUUUUUUUAUAGGGGCCCAAUAUUUAUAGAUAUAGAACAUAAUAUCAUUUUCUUAAAAGAAAAUUUUAUAUAUCCAAUGACCAAUUCAUUAAAUUGUGAGCAGUUAGAUUUCUUUUUCUAUAAAAAUGUAAAUCAAGAGGAGCAUGGAUAUAUAUAUAUAUAGUUUUAUAAUUGAUCAUGGUAUUUUUUUAAAUAUAAUAUAAUAAAUUAAAUAUAUA
rnacentral:misc_RNA from 1 species